GAGCACAAGGGCAAUCUGGCAGCAAUAUCUGUCACCCCAUUGGUCAUCAGAGCUGAUUCAGCUGAUCUGGCUGGCUAGGCAGGGGUCCCCUUUCUCCCUCACCACUCCAUGGGCAUCCUUCCCAGAGCGACUGGCUUGGUGGAAAAGGACGACCUUCCCCAAGAGAGGAAGACUGGUCUUCUGUCAAGGUAUGCAAGUAGCUACGCUUCCCUGACAGAGCUCCAAACCAGCUCUCCAGCUCUCUUGCUAUUGUUCAAAGGGGACAACUGCUCCUUACAUCUUAUACACCUGGACCUUCAGAUAUGUCC
rnacentral:snRNA from 1 species